rnacentral:rRNA from 1 species
AUUGAACGCUGGCGGCAGGCCUAACACAUGCAAGUCGAGCGGAUGAAGGGAGCUUGCUCCUGGAUUCAGCGGCGGACGGGUGAGUAAUGCCUAGGAAUCUGCCUGGUUGUGGGGGAUAACGUCCGGAAACGGGCGCUCAUACCGCAUAAGUCCUGAGGGCGAACGUGGGGGAUCUUCGGACCUCCCGCUAUCAGAUGAUCCUAUGUCGGAUUAGCUAGUUGGUGGGGUAAAGGCCUACCAAGGCGACGAUCCGUAACUGGUCUGAGAGGAUGAUCAGCCACACUGGAACUGAGACACGGUCCAGACUCCUACGGGAGGCAGCAGUGGGGAAUAUUGGACAAUGGGCGAAAGCCUGAUCCAGCCAUGCCGCGUGUGUGAAGAAGGUCUUCGGAUUGUAAAGCCCUUUAAGUUGGGAGGAAGGGCAGUAAGUUAAUACCUCGCUGUUUUGACGGUACCAACAGAAUAAGCACCGGCUAACUUCGUG